AGGAUCCUCUGCCAGCAUUCUUGAUUUGUCAGUUUUCGUUAUAUGAAGACAAUCAAUGUAGGUCUUGAACACUGAUUUUACGGUUCUUUGUGUGGGCCCAACUCUAACACUCAUAGCUCUGUAAAUCCCGGUGACCUAUUGAAGAAACAUACAUUAAUUGGAUAGAAGUUUCCAAUUUCCUUUCUGCAGUCCGACAAUAUGUCCUAUGGCUAUUCUGGUCUCAUCUCAACCCUAUCACCAGGCUUUCCAGUAUCCACCAACUUGUCAUGCAUCAACAAGCUCACCGUGUGUGGUGUUCCUCCUUCAGGGAUCUCAUCA
rnacentral:misc_RNA from 1 species